rnacentral:rRNA from 1 species
CACGCCGUAAACGAUGUUCACUAGGUGUUGGGGGUAUUGACCCCCUCAGUGCCGCAGCUAACGCAUUAAGUGAACCGCCUGGGGAGUACGGUCGCAAGACUAAAACUCAAAGGAAUUGAC